rnacentral:rRNA from 1 species
UGGAUGAUGUGGAUUAAUUCGAUGCAACGCGAAGAACCUUACCUACCCUUGACAUGUCCGGAACUUGCCAGAGAUGGCUUGGUGCCCGAAAGGGAAUCGGAACACAGGUGCUGCAUGGCUGUCGUCAGCUCGUGUCGUGAGAUGUUGGGUUAAGUCCCGCAACGAGCGCAACCCUUAUCAUUAGUUGCUACGCAAGGGCACUCUAAUGAGACUGCCGGUGACAAACCGGAGGAAGGUGGGGAUGACGUCAAGUCCUCAUGGCCCUUAUGGGUAGGGCUUCACACGUCAUACAAUGGUCGGUACAGAGGGUUGCCAAGCCGCGAGGCGGAGCCAAUCCCACAAAGCCGAUCGUAGUCCGGAUUGUUCUCUGCAACUCGAGAGCAUGAAGCUGGAAUCACUAGUAAUCGCAGAUCAGCUAUGCUGCGGUGAAUACGUUCCCGGGUCUU